rnacentral:rRNA from 1 species
AGAACGAACGCUGGCGGCAUGCCUAACACAUGCAAGUCGAACGAGACCUUCGGGUCUAGUGGCGCACGGGUGCGUAACGCGUGGGAAUCUGCCCUUCGGUUCGGAAUAACAGUUAGAAAUGACUGCUAAUACCGGAUAAUGACGUAAGUCCAAAGAUUUAUCGCCGAGGGAUGAGCCCGCGUAGGAUUAGCUUGUUGGUGGGGUAAUGGCCCACCAAGGCGACGAUCCUUAGCUGGUCUGAGAGGAUGAUCAGCCACACUGGGACUGAGACACGGCCCAGACUCCUACGGGAGGCAGCAGUGGGGAAUCUUGCCCAAUGGGCGAAAGCCUGAGGCAGCAACGCCGCGUGCGGGAAGAAGGCCUUAGGGUUGUAAACCGCUUUCAGCAGGGAAGAAAAUGACGGUACCUGAAGAAGAAGGUGCGGCCAACUACGUGCCAGCAGCCGC